GGGGAAUAUUGCACAAUGGGGGAAACCCUGAUGCAGCGAUGCCGCGUGGAGGAAGAAGGUUUUCGGAUUGUAAACUCCUGUCUUCAGGGACGAUAAUGACGGUACCUGAGGAGGAAGCUCCGGCUAACUACGUGCCAGCAGCCGCGGUAAUACGUAGGGAGCAAGCGUUGUCCGGAAUUACUGGGUGUAAAGGGAGCGUAGGCGGGACGGCAAGUCAGAUGUGAAAUUUAUGGGCUCAACUCAUAACCUGCAUUUGAAACUGCUGUUCUUGAGUGAAGUAGAGGUAAGCGGAAUUCCUGGUGUAGCGGUGAAAUGCGUAGAUAUCAGGAGGAACAUCGGUGGCGAAGGCGGCUUACUGGGCUUUUACUGACGCUGAGGCUCGAAAGCGUGGGGAGCAAAC
rnacentral:rRNA from 1 species